UACGUAGGGUGCGAGCGUUGUCCGGAAUUAUUGGGCGUAAAGAGCUCGUAGGCGGUGUGUCGCGUCGGCCGUGAAAACCUGGGGCUUAACUCUGGGCGUGCGGUCGAUACGGGCAUCACUGGAGUUCGGCAGGGGAGACUGGAAUUCCUGGUGUAGCGGUGAAAUGCGCAGAUAUCAGGAGGAACACCGGUGGCGAAGGCGGGUCUCUGGGCCGAUACUGACGCUGAGGAGCGGAAAAGCAUGGGUAGCGAACAGG
rnacentral:rRNA from 1 species